UAUGUUUAACGGCCGCGGUAUUUUAACCGUGCGAAGGUAGCGCAAUCACUUGUCUUUUAAAUGAAGACCUGUAUGAAUGGCAUAACGAGGGCUUAACUGUCUCCUUUUCUAAGUCAAUGAAAUUGAUCUUUCCGUGCAGAAGCGGGAAUGACACCAUAAGACGAGAAGACCCUAUGGAGCUUUAGACAAAAGGUAGAUCACACUAAACACCCUAAACAAAAGGAUAAACUAAAAGAAUACUACCCUCAUGUCUUCGGUUGGGGCGACCGCGGGGCACAUAAAACCCCCACGUGGACCAGGAGGAAUUUUACCCUCACCUCCCAAAACUAAGAGCCCCCGCUCUAGUAAACAGAAUUUCUGACCAAAAAUGAUCCGGCAACGCCGAUCAACGGACCAAGUUACCCUAGGGAUAACAGCGCAAUCCCCUUUUAGAGUCCAUAUCGACAAGGGGGUUUACGACCUCGAUGUUGGAUCAGGACAUCCUAAUGGUGCAGCCGCUAUUAAGGGUUCGUUU
rnacentral:rRNA from 1 species